rnacentral:rRNA from 1 species
AACAGGAUUAGAUACCCUGGUAGUCCACGCCGUAAACGAUGUCGACUUGGAGGUUGUGCCCUUGAGGCGUGGCUUCCGGAGCUAACGCGUUAAGUCGACCGCCUGGGGAGUACGGCCGCAAGGUUAAAACUCAAAUGAAUUGACGGGGGCCCGCACAAGCGGUGGAGCAUGUGGUUUAAUUCGAUGCAACGCGAAGAACCUUACCUGGUCUUGACAUCCACAGAACUUUCCAGAGAUGGAUUGGUGCCUUCGGGAACUGUGAGACAGGUGCUGCAUGGCUGUCGUCAGCUCGUGUUGUGAAAUGUUGGGUUAAGUCCCGCAACGAGCGCAACCCUUAUCCUUUGUUGCCAGCGGUCCGGCCGGGAACUCAAAGGAGACUGCCAGUGAUAAACCGGAGGAAGGUGGGGAUGACGUCAAGUCAUCAUGGCCCUUACGAGUAGGGCUACACACGUGCUACAAUGGCGCAUACAAAGAGAAGCGACCUCGCGAGAGCAAGCGGACCUCACAAAGUGCGUCGUAGUCCGGAUCGGAGUCUGCAACUCGACUCCGUGAAGUCGGAAUCGCUAGUAUCGUGGAUCAGAAUGCCACGGUGAAUACGUUCCCGGGCCUUGUACACACCGCCCGUCACACCAUGGGAGUGGGUUGCAAAAGAAGUAGGUAGCUUAACCUUCGGGAGGGCGCUUACCACUUUGUGAUUCAUGACUGGGGUGAAGUCGUAACAAGGUAACC